GCCUACGGGGGGCAGCAGUAGGGAAUCUUCCACAAUGGGCGAAAGCCUGAUGGAGCAACGCCGCGUGGGUGAAGAAGGUCUUCGGAUCGUAAAACCCUGUUGUUAGAGAAGAAAGUGCGUGAGAGUAACUGUUCACGUUUCGACGGUAUCUAACCAGAAAGCCACGGCUAACUACGUGCCAGCAGCCGCGGUAAUACGUAGGUGGCAAGCGUUAUCCGGAUUUAUUGGGCGUAAAGGGAACGCAGGCGGUCUUUUAAGUCUGAUGUGAAAGCCUUCGGCUUAACCGGAGGAGUGAAUUGGAAACU
rnacentral:rRNA from 1 species